rnacentral:rRNA from 1 species
CAGCUCUCCGAGUGGUAGGGAUGAUUAUUGGGCCUAAAACGUUCGUAGCCGGUUUGGUAAAUGCCUGGGUAAAUCGUGUAGCUUAACUAUACGAAUUCCGGGUGGACUGCCAAACUUGAGACCGGGAGAAGCUAGAGGUACUCCUAGGGUAGAGGUGAAAUUCUGUAAUCCUGGGGGGACCACCAGUGGCGAAGGCGUCUAGCUAGAACGGGUCUGACGGUGAGGAACGAAGCCCUGGGGCGCAAACCGGAUUAGAUACCCGAGUAGUCC